AAGGAAUACGACGUACAGGAUCAUCGACCAUUUCUCUCACUCAAUCAAAGUGGCUUAAAUAAGGCGGAUCAAAUAAAGUUUGCCCGUUAUUUGGGUCAGGGACUACCCACAUUUACGCUUUUCUGCAUUUAUAGUAAUUUCAAAAAUCUUUUCUGCACUAAACGUACAGAAAUCUACACAAAAGAUGGUUACAAUUUGCCUUAUAUAUUGGACAAAACGAAACGUUUUCUAUCGAAUACAACGGCAGGUU